UACGAAGGGGGCAAGCGUUGUUCGGAAUUACUGGGCGUAAAGGGCGCGUAGGCGGUGCGCUAAGUCAGGCGUGAAAGCCCUGGGCUCAACCCGGGAAUUGCGCUUGAUACUGGCGUGCUCGAAUCCGGGAGAGGUUGGUGGAAUUCCCAGUGUAGAGGUGAAAUUCGUAGAGAUUGGGAAGAACACCGGUGGCGAAGGCGGCCAUCUGGCUCGGUACUGACGCUCAGGCGCGAAAGCGUGGGGAGCAAACAGG
rnacentral:rRNA from 1 species